rnacentral:tRNA from 1 species
CCCUGGGUGGCUCAGUGGUUGAGCACCUGCCUUCAGCUCAGGUCAUGACCCCCCAGGGU